ensembl:lncRNA
AUGAGUUUCAAGAUCCUGCCCCCUGCAAAUGCUCAGGAGAGACUGGCCCGCCAGCAAGGCCUGGGUGCACUUCGGCAGCAGGGGCAGGAGGUGAGGGCCUUUGCCCAAUUCUUUUGGACUAUGUCCAGGGGCCUUGAGUACCAGGAUGCAGCCCUUAAGGAUGUCUUCAACCUCUGUCUAGAUGAUCCACUGCCUCAGUGGGAGAUGGAGCAAUUGAGGAUCUUGGACUUUUGGAACUUUUCCAAUUAUUUGCACCACCGCAAGGAUUGGCAGAUACUCACACCACCAGAGUCCACCGACAGUGAUCACCCCACUCUCCCUAAUCCAUCGAGUCAACUUCCUGAUCUUCUGACUCCCACUGAGAAAAGAAGAGAGAGAAGAAUGAGGGCAGCCAAAGCUGCUGCAUCUGCCAUUGAGACCUCUGUGGUUGUUCCAGCCUCCGAAUCGGCUGAAUCCCUCACGGUCACAUCUGAGUCUACCAAGUGCUCUGAAGCAUUCAAGCUGAAGGAAGCUGUGAGGGAAGUUCCCCUGUUAGCCCCUGUUUCUGUGUCAGUCAAGCCCCUUCUAGUUCAUUCAAAGCCAGUCAAGUCCAGUCCUGAAAAUUCUACGCCUGUUCAAGUCAGUCAAGAUGUGGGUGAGGUGACAGCCUACAGGCCUGGGAGGCGAAAGGGUAGGAGGGCCCGUGCCAGAAGUGCUAGAGCCCUUAGUCCCGAGACCUCUCAUGCAGUUAUCCCGGAGGAUCUCAAAUUGUCCACUGCUUCAGUCAUGCUCUUGGAGUCCAGUAUUGAGCAGCGUGCCCCAGAGCUCGCUCCAGUGUCGGCUCCAGCCCCAGAGCUCGCUCCAGUGUCGGCUCCAGCCCCAGAGCCCGUUCCUGUGGCCCCGGAGGGCAGUUUGUCAGCCCCCGAGGGCAGUCAAGAAUCAGUCUUGGAGUCCAUGGCAGUCCCAGACCCUAUUCUAGCCUCAAAGUCCACCCCAGAAUUGUCUCCAGUCUUAAACUUUGCUCAAGUCCCAGAGGCCCUGGAGUCUGCCCUAGAGUAUGUUUUAGUUCCAGACUUUUCUCCAUUCCCUGAGUUUACUCCGGAGCUACUCCCAGUCCCGGAGUUAUCAAGGUCCAUCCCAAUUUUGACUUCAGAGCAAUUUUCAGUCCAGGAACAACCAGAGAUCAUCACAGAGCAAGUCCAGGAACAGAACAAGGUCAUUCCAAAACCAGUCCCAGGGUAUGUUCCAGAGCCUACGUCAUUCCUGAAGCCAGUCUCUGAGUUUGUCCAAGAGCCAAUCCUAGAGCAAGAGUCUGUUCCAGUAGCCCCGGAGGGCAGUCAAGAAUCCACUCCUGAGUCUGUUCCAAUAGCCCUGGAGGGCAGUCCAGAACCAAUUCAGUCUGUCAAAGUCUGCUACGGAUUCAAUCCAAGAGCCCUCAGAGCCAGUCCCAGCACCCAUUCCUGAUCCAGUCCAACUUCAGGAGGGGGUACCUUACCAUACUCCAACCUCCAAAUCUCCAGAACUAUCCACUUCCCCUACCACUUUCAAGCCAUCAAUUGUCAAGCCGGUCAGUACUUCUACUUAUGCCACCACCCGUAUCCCUAUGGCCCCAUCUUCUCUGCGGCGAGGCUUUAACCGUACUCAAACCAUGCCUGCUGCCUUCAGCCCUACCCUGUCAGGCUACACCCCUGGACAUACUCCCACCCUUCCCACCCCCUCUCAUGUGCUGCCUGGUUGCUUUGGUUCUGCUAUGUCUGCACCCCCCUGGACUUGUUUGCCUGGUUUGGACGCCAGGAGGCGUCCUUUGGGAGAGGGGUACUGUCAGGGUUCUGCCCUGGCAGCUGUGUCUAUUUUGUCUUUGUUUAGUGUUUCUCUGUUUGUCCUGUGUAUGACCACAUGGCUUUGUCUUUGUUUAUGUUGGCCAUGUGCUCCUUUUGUCCUGCCCCCUUGUUUCACAUUACCACGCCCCCUCGUUUAGUCCUUGUUUGGCACUCAUUAAUUGAUUGUUCUCACCUUGUGUGGUGUGCUUUCCUUCCUAUUUAUUGUGCUCAUUUCCCUCAUGUGUUUGCUGGUUCGUUUUGCUGUGUGAGUUAGUGUUUGCUUAGCUUGCUAGCUGAUCUUUACUAAUCGAGAUUUUCUUUGUCUGUUAAAGUCUGGUAUUUAUUAGUUUAAGUUUAUCUGGUCACGGUUUAGUCCAGUUUCAGUUUUUCUUUUUGUUUGGAUCUCUAUUUUAGUUUCUCAUGAGUUUGAUUUGUUUUUGAGUUUGACUUGUUUUUGUUGUUGAGUUUGAGUUUCUUGAUUUAGUCUUUCCAGUUAUUUCUAGAACUAUUUUGUAUUUGUUUCUUUACCUUUUAAUUUACUUUUGGUAAGUCAGCUUUGGUUAUUUCUCUAGCUCCCCUUUUAUCUUGUUUCUAGGUCAUAGCAUUCCUGUCUGACUUUUUGCUCUUGUUUUGAAUUAUUAUUAUUAUUAUUAUUAUUAUUAUUAUUAUUAUUAUUACUAUUACUAUUUUUGUUCUCUUGUUGUCUUGAGUCUUGUCUAGUGUUUUGUGAGUUCUGUCUGUUCCUGUCUUGCCUCCUGCUUUCUCCCUGGCCACUGGGUCUCCCUGCCUGGAGGUCUGACAUGUGUGGCUUCACCUCCAUAGCCAAGUGCCCUUGGUUCCUGGUGCUGUGGUCUGGUCUCUAGCACAGCCUCCUCUACAGUCCUGCGCUCGGUUGGCACCCAGGGCCCUCCUCGGCGGUCAUCCCCCCCCAUCUGCCUGCUUCACUGUUGUACGCCCUUUCCUACUGUCUGGACUGUUCAAGCCACUCCCUCCUAUCGUGCUUGUCUUAUUUGUCAAUAAACGUCCCCUGUUCAAUCUGCAUUUGGGUCCUCUCCCUCAGUAACCCUGACAAAAAACAGAAUGCAAUGAUGUGGAAGUUUCAAAUUUCAAUAUUUUAUUCAGAAUACAACAUAGAUGACAUAUCAAAUGUUUAAACUGAGAAAAUGUAUCAUUUUAAGGGAAAUAUAAGUUGAUUUUAAAUUUCAUGGCAUCAACACAUCUCAAAAAAGUUGGGACAAGGCCAUAUUUACCACUGUGUGGCAUCCCCUCUUCUUUUUAUAACAGUCUGCAAACAUGUGGGGACUGAGGAGACAAGUUGCUCAAGUUUAGGAAUAGUAAUGUUGUCCCAUUCUUACAGGCUUCUAGUUGCUCAACUGUCUUAGGUCUUCUUUGUCGCAUCUUCCUCUUUAUGAUGCGCCAAAUGUUUUCUAUGGGUGAAAGAUCUGGACUGCAGGCUGGCCAUUUCAGUACCCGGAUCCUUCUUCUACGCAGCCAUGAUGUUGUAAUUGAUGCAGUAUGUGGUCUGGCAUUGUCAUGUUGGAAAAUGCAAGGUCUUCCCUGAAAGAGAAUCUGGAUGGGAGCAUAUGUUGUUCUAGAACUUGGAUAUACCUUUCAGCAUUGAUGGUGCUUUUCCAGAUGUGUAAGCUGCCCAUGCCACAUGCACUCAUGCAACCCCAUAGCAUCAGAGAUGCCGGCUUCUGAGCUGAGCGCUCAUAACAACUUGGGUUGUCCUUGUCCUCUUUAGUCCGGAUGACAUGGCGUCCCAGUUUUCCAAAAAGAACUUCAAAUUUUGAUUCGUCUGACCACAAAACAGUUUUCCACUUUGCCACAGUCCAUUUUAAAUGAGCCUUGGCCCAGAGAAAAUGCCUGCGCUUCUGGAUCAUGUUUAGAUAUGGCUUCUUUUUUGACCUAUAGAGUUUUAGCCGGCAACGGCGAAUGGCACGGUGGAUUGUGUUCACCGACAAUGUUUUCUGGAAGUAUUCCUAAGCCCAUGUUGUGAUUUCCAAUAUAGUAGCAUUCCUGUAUGUAAUGCAGUGCUGUCUAAGGACCCGAAGAUCACGGGCAUCCAGUAUGGUUUUCCGGCCUUGACCCUUACGCACAGAGAUUGUUCCAGAUUCUCUAAAUCUUUGGAUGAUAUUAUGCACUGUAGAUGAUGAUAACUUCAAACUCUUUGCAAUUUUUCUCUGAGAAACUCUUUCUGAUAUUGCUCCACUAUUUUUCACCACAGCAUUGGGGGAAUUGGUGAUCCUCUGCCCAUCUUGACUUCUGAGAGACACUGCCACUCUGAGAGGCACUUUUUGUACUCAAUCAUGUUGUCAAUUGACCUAAUAAGUUGCAAAUUGGUCCUCCAGCUGUUCUUUAUAUGUACAUUUAACUUUUCCGGCCUCUUAUUGCUACCUGUCCCAACUUUUUUGGAAUGUGUAGCUCUCAUGAAAUCCAAAAUGAGCCAAUAUUUGGCAUGACAUUUCAAAAUGUCUCACUUUCAACAUUUGAUAUGUUAUCUGUAUUCUAUUAUGAAUAAAAUAUAAGUUUAUGAGAUUUGUAAAUUAUUCCAUUCCUUUUUUACUCACAAUUUGUACAGUGUCCCAACUUUUUUGGAAUCGGGUUUGUAUAUAGUUUAAAUUUCUGUGGUGGACACACAACAUUUUCUGGUGGUGAAGCACAUCCUUCCCUAUCUUUUGUGGACUCAAGGUCAUUUGCAGUCGUUUCCAUAAUCUAAUCCUUGCGAUUAGAAAGAAAUGAUUUAAAUGCCCAAUUGAAGAGUUUUAAGCACAAUGCCGCAGGUGGCUUUCUGUAUUUUCAUAUAACUCAUCUAAAAAUCUUUGAGUACUGAGCUUUGAUUUGCCUUCCCCUCAUAAGUCCAGAGGUUUAGUUGAGUCUUGAAUUCAUCAAUAGAGCUUAAAAUACAUGUUAACUAUUGUU